rnacentral:misc_RNA from 1 species
UUAAGUUCAGCGGGUAGUCCCACCUGAUUUGAGGUCAAAGUUCGAUGAAAGCUGUCCUUUCGGACGGUUAGAAAGCGCGUCUCCACAGAAGCAAGCACACCACAGCGUAGAUAAUUAUCACACCGAGGCGCACGUCGCAACAAGACGCACUAAUGCAUUUGAGAGGAGCCGAGCGGUGAAGCCCGGCAAAGCCUCCAAGU